GUCUGUGGUCUGGUACAAUCGCUAGGUAGGUGGUACAUAUCAAAGUAAAAUCCACAUGAAUGCCAGGACAUAAGGUUUCCCAACAGAACAUUGCCCAGAGCAUAAACUUGCCUCCACCGGCCUUCCUUCUUCCCAUAGUGCAUCCUGCUGUCAUCCCUUACCCAGGGAGAAACAACACACACGCACCAAUCCAUCCACCCGAUCUAACAG